rnacentral:misc_RNA from 1 species
AUUUAGGCUGCCUCAGUAGUCCUGGACAAAGAAAAGUCUUCCAAUUCUUUAGAUUGAUGUACAACAAAUUAGCAAUCAAUAUUAGGUCACAACAACUGUAGAAGAGGCUAUAGUAAUAUGAAGGAGGAAAAAAGUAGAAAAUGUUUUAAAAGCUUGUAUAAUAAUGACAACAUUACACAUUUCUAAAGAUUUAACCCAAAAUCGUUUA